rnacentral:hammerhead_ribozyme from 1 species
AUCCUGCUGAUGAGUUUCAAAUAGGACGAAGUGAUGCGCGUCCUGGAU